rnacentral:rRNA from 1 species
CCUACGGGAGGCAGCAGUUAGGAAUCUUCCACAAUGGGGGCAACCCUGAUGGAGCAACGCCGCGUGCAGGAUGAAGGCCUUCGGGUCGUAAACUGCUUUUAUGUGCGAGGAAUAUGACGGUAACACAUGAAUAAGGAUCGGCUAACUCCGUGCCAGCAGCCGCGGUCAUACGGAGGAUCCGAGCGUUAUCCGGAGUGACUGGGCGUAAAGAGUUGCGUAGGUGGUAGUUCAAGCAAAUAGUGAAAUCCUGUGGCUCAACCAUAGGGCUAUUAUUUGAACUGGACUACUUGAGAGCAUGAGAGGUAGAUGGAAUUCCUAAUGUAGGGGUAAUAUCCGUAGAUAUUAGGAGGAACACCAAUGGCGUAGGCAGUCUACUGGCAUGUUUCUGACACUGAGGCACGAAAGCGUGGGGAGCGAACCGGAUUAGAUACCCGUGUAGU